AAAAGGAGCAAGCAGCAGGGAUGUGUGGCUUAGAUGAUGCUGGGAGAUUAAUAAGGGUAAAGACUGAAAGUGUCAGUUGUGAAAAUUCGGUAUAACUACAUGGCAUUACCACAAAUAGACUCAAUUACAAAACUUAAAUAUGGACACAAACUUUUCAGGAGGAUGUGUGAAUGCAGAUAAUUUUUUGGCUGAACAUGGUUCGUGAGUGUUAAAAGCAUCCUCUGGUGAUGGGGAACUGAAACUUGGUUGCCUUCCAAGAAGCUUCAGGAUAAAGCUCUGAAUCAACCACAUGCAGGGUGUUCCAGAGAUGAAAUGUACAAACCCACAGUCCCUGGCUCCUCCGUUCCUACAAUCUCCACCCAUAGAAGGCCAGGAAUGUAGAAAUGACCUGGGAAUUCCUAUAAUUUCUAGCAGUUGCUAAAAACAGAGAAGGUAAACACACACAUGUGGCUCACCAAUUCUUUUGGUAGCAUAAAAAAUGUAUGUAUUUCUUAAAUAAUAACCCAUCUCUCCCUCUUUCACAUACCCCAUUUCCACCUCUGGCAGCCUAAAAGUUCAUGCUCCAGUUCCUCUUUGCUAAAGAUAGAGUUGAAGGGUUGAAGUAUGACAAUGUCAGUUGUAGCAGCAUCCAACCAUUUUUUGCAAAAUUGUCAUAAUCCAAUAGUGACUUCAGCGUUGAUGGUUAUCAGUGAGGUAGUAUGGUGAUUUUCUGUUAUUUAAGGUAAUUCCAUCCAAGCAGAACAUAAACAUUAUGAAAAUUUAUAUUUUCAGCUAGAUCUAUUUUACAUGCAUUUGAAAGCUAGCUGUAUUUAAUCACUUUUUAUUACAUAAACUAAUGAUGUGGAUAAUGUUGUUGACUUUUUAUUCAUUUCUUAAUGGGUAGUUUCAGAGCUAAAAGGCAUACGUGUCCUCCUACAGUGCUGCUAAAGGAUAUGAUCAAAUUCAUAUAGGAAGAUGACAAAUCAUUCAUCAAGAACCUCGACCCUAACUUUCAGGGAAGAUAAAAUGGAGCUGAGAGUAUUUCUAGGAUGUCUUGCAAUUGCUCAAGAAAUAUUAACGUUAUCUUUCUGUUUCAUUGCUUAUAACUUAAAGAUAUACUAUGGGUAAAAGCUAGGCUGCCUUACUAUACUUCUUUUUUUCCAAGUGUAAUCAGCAACGUUUGACUUUCUGAGUGUGUGUUCUUGUCAAUCAGUGGCCCAUUAGCGAGCCCUUGGAAAGGCCAUAGCUUGGUAGGCCUCUCCAUUUGGGGGUUGUAGAAUCCCUCCACUUCUUUUU
rnacentral:lncRNA from 1 species